rnacentral:lncRNA from 1 species
AAAUCGGCCCUUACCGAUCCUACUCCUUUGACAAUGUUUUGUUAUUUGUUUUUACUGUUGAAAUUAGUUGUUAUGUUAAAAUAGAUAAUUAUUCACCUUGAGCGAUGUAUUAUUGUUGACCAUUCGAGAUUCUUUUUUGCGAACCCGUCUUCAGCUUAAUGUGUGAUUUUGAUAUUACUACGCGAGCCUCAAGGGAUUACAAAUCGAAAAUAAAUGCUAAAUAUGUUAGUUUUUGUGUCUUUCAAAACACAAACAAUAUACAGAAUUAAUUGCAGGACAAAGACAAUAGCUGUUUAGUGUCUUUAAAUAUCAGCUGUAUUUGUACUCGGCUCGAAACAGGUGUAGUAGCUCGCUAAAAGCUCGCAUACACCUUGUUUCCUAGCCUCGUACAAAUACAG